UCCUGCAGAACUGUCCGGCAAUGGGCAUUUACUCCACCAACAUCACCCAUCACUGACUGGAGGCUCCUUGGGAGGGAGAGACUCAUUGUUCUGGUUUGAGGCUUCUGCUACACCAUCAAUACUAGAUCCUCACCAGGACUCCUCUCAGAUAUCCUGAUGUGGCCCUGUGUCAUGGAGAUCAUGGCUUUGGAUCUGUAGGAUCAGCCCCUUCACACACUCCAGCAGUUCAUCGAUAGGCAUAUAGAAAUCUGGGGAUCCUGCUGGUGGCCUGUGGCCCAGGAGGACAGAGCACUCCCAAGAAGACUCCUACUGGGCAUCAUGUAGCGAGGGUUCGGGUCACAACACUCCUCAGAUGACCUCAGAUACCCAGAGGCCCCGAGUGCCACUAAGAUGAGCAAGUAAGUGGUGGAGAGAUGGAAGAGAAAGAGAAGCAGAAGUGUGUGAGCUGGUAGUGAGGAACAGCCUGAUGUGAGUAGCCAGAAAUGCCAUCUGACGCUGUGGUGAGGUCCUUGGCCAUGCUGCUGCUGAGAGCCAUGUCUGUGUCCAUGGCCCUGCAGCAGCAAAGAUCAUGCAACAUCCUGGUUGGGACUGUCACCUGGGGUUAUGUUGAUGUUUGCGCAUCCCUAUGUGCAGAGCUUGCCCCACCCCUCACCAACUGUAGUACUCAGGAGAAUGGGCCAGCACUUCUCCUGUGUAGAGCUGAGCUACGUUGCAGGGAGAAUUGGCCCCUCCCCUCAUUAGGUGUAUGAUGGUAUGGUUGCAAGAAAUGCCCUCCUCCUUCUUACCUCUUGCUACCUCCAUUCCUUGGAAAGAGAGCUGGCCCCGCCCCUAGCCUGAGCAUUGUGAGAGAGUUGCCCUUCUCUUCUCAGUAGAGAGAGUUUUGAGGUCUCCUCCUUAUGUUCUGCCCAGUAUGGAAGACAGCCUCCUCUUGGCUGCCUGCAGAAGAUGUAGAACUCUCAGCUUCUUCUCCAGCACCAUUUCUACCUGGAUGCUGCCAUGCUCCCUGUCAUGGUAAUUAUGGACUGAAUCUUUGAAACUGUAAGCCAGCCCCAAUUAAAUGUUGUCCUUUAUAAAA